rnacentral:rRNA from 1 species
GACGAACGCUGGCGGCGUGCCUAAUACAUGCAAGUUGAGCGCUGAAGGUUGGUACUUGUACCGACUGGAUGAGCAGCGAACGGGUGAGUAACGCGUGUGGAAUCUGCCUUUGAGCGGGGGACAACAUUUGGAAACGAAUGCUAAUACCGCAUAAAAACUUUAAACACAAGUUUUAAGUUUGAAAGAUGCAAUUGCAUCACUCAAAGAUGAUCCCGCGUUGUAUUAGCUAGUUGGUGAGGUAAAGGCUCACCAAGGCGAUGAUACAUAGCCGACCUGAGAGGGUGAUAGGCCACAUUGGGAGUGAGACACGGCCCAAACUCCUACGGGAGGGAGCAGUAGGGAAUCGUCGGCAAUGGACGAAAGUCUGACCGAGCAACGCCGCGUGCGUGAAGAAGGUUUUCGGAUCGUAAAACUCUGUUGGUAGAGAAGAACGUUGGUGAGAGUGGAAAGCUCAUCAAGUGACGGUAACUACCCAGAAAGGGACGGCUAACUACGUG